UGGGGAAUUUUGGACAAUGGGCGAAAGCCUGAUCCAGCAAUGCCGCGUGCAGGAUGAAGGCCUUCGGGUUGUAAACUGCUUUUGUACGGAACGAAAAAGCUUCUCCUAAUACGAGAGGCCCAUGACGGUACCGUAAGAAUAAGCACCGGCUAACUACGUGCCAGCAGCCGCGGUAAUACGUAGGGUGCGAGCGUUAAUCGGAAUUACUGGGCGUAAAGCGUGCGCAGGCGGUUAUGUAAGACAGUUGUGAAAUCCCCGGGCCCAACCUGGGAACUGCAUUUGUGACUGCAUGGCUAGAGUACGGUAGAGGGGGAUGGAAUUCCGCGUGUAGCAGUGAAAUGCGUAGAUAUGCGGAGGAACACCGAUGGCGAAGGCAAUCCCCUGGACCUGUACUGACGCUCAUGCACGAAAGCGUGGGGAGCAAACA
rnacentral:rRNA from 1 species